AUUGAACGCUGGCGGAAUGCUUUACACAUGCAAGUCGAACGGCAGCACGGACUUCGGUCUGGUGGCGAGUGGCGAACGGGUGAGUAAUGUAUCGGAACGUGCCCAGUCGUGGGGGAUAACGUAGUGAAAAUUACGCUAAUACCGCAUACGAUCUAUGGAUGAAAGCGGGGGAUCGCAAGACCUCGCGCGAUUGGAGCGGCCGAUAUCAGAUUAGGUAGUUGGUGGGGUAAAGGCCCACCAAGCCAACGAUCUGUAGCUGGUCUGAGAGGAGGACCAGCCACACUGGAACUGAGACACGGUCCAGACUCCUACGGGAGGCAGCAGUGGGGAAUUUUGGACAAUGGGCGAAAGCCUGAUCCAGCCAUUCCGCGUGCAUGAUGAAGGCCCUCGGGUUGUAAACUGCUUUUGUACAGAACGAAAAGGUUUCUACUAAUACUUGGAGCUCAUGACGGUACUGUAAGAAUAAGCACCGGCUAACUACGUGCCAGCCGCCGCGGUAA
rnacentral:rRNA from 1 species